rnacentral:sRNA from 10 species
GUGAAGGCUCGGGUAGUGAAAAUCAAGAGAAAAACCAUGGGAGAAAGGAAGAAAUUCUUGUCUUUUUCUUCCAUUUCACCCAUAUUUUGAUGCUUAGAAUCUCAAAGGCAUACAUGCACACAUGUUUUAAGGAGUGAUUCAAGGGCAUUUGGAGAAAUAUCAAGUGGGUUUCAAGAUUCAAAAGAAAUAAGGCGUGAAGAAAUUGUGAACUUGUGUGUGGAACCUAAGCAAAAACCAAGAGGUAACAAGUGAUAGGCGAUUAGAAUUAGCUAGAUACGCGCCCGAAUCAAUAGCGAUGAAGCAUCUUGUUAUUGUAAGAUAAGUGAUCAGUGCAGGCGUGUCGUCCAAUGGAUCUAACUUUGCUACAACGUAGGCUUGUUCGGGAUUUGGAGGGUUUACUCGCAAGUCUCAGACACCGGUAACGAUCAGGAUAGAGGUCGUUACAAACCUGCUGAGAGGACUCCAACUUUUGAAUCUCCUAGUAGAACUCCUUGGGCUUUUUGAUUGCACUAUCAUCUACACAUUCGUGGGUAAAAGUCAUCUUUGUGGAAGCCAGGAGCAAUUAAAUUCAAGGUUGAUAUGGUUUGGCUCAUGGGGACCAUAUUUAGUGACUGGCUGUCAUUGUAAGUUUGUUGCUUUAUUGGGACUUCAUAUUUUUUUCCUGUUUGUCCUUUUGUUUGGAUAGUUUUUAAAUUGUGGUAUCUGUUGAUGAAUUGAUGUGAAAUUCUUAUGGUGUUUGUUGAUGGACAACUUAGAAAUUUACAGUCUUUGUCAAUGAACAACUUUGUUUGCUUUUCUUUUA